ACCAUUAGCACUUGCUCAUCAUGUCUAUUACUGUACACAAAUGACUGCAAUUCCCACUCGCAGUCUGUAAGGAUGUUUCAAUUUUCUGAUAACUCCACAAUAAUGGCUUUGAUUUCUUACAAAGGUAGAAUAGCUAAUGGAAGUGAGAUCUCAUUUUUAGUAAACUGGUAUGAGGCAAACAACCUGGAAUUGAUUGUUUCCCAAACCAAGGAAACAUUAGUAGACUUUUACAGGAGCUGUGGGGUCCACCUACACUUGGUUAUCAACAACACUGAAAUGCGACAGCCAGAAAUUUCUGCGAGUGACCAUCUCCUCCACAUUCAGAUGGGGGGAAAAACACCAGUACUAAAGGACCCUUCUCAUCCAGCUACUAAUCUUUUAAUGCCCUCCCUUUUCACAAAUGUUUAAGAAGCAUUGAAACUAGAACAUCCACACUCUAGAACAGCGCAUAUCCUGGAGCUGUCAGUCUCCUUCACACUCAAAACUUAGCAAUACAGACCACUCAGUAGGGUUAAUAAUUGUCUAAUGACUGAAAUGUUUAAGUAUUUGAAUCAAUUUAUCAGUGGAUUGUUCUAAUUUCAACCACUUGUAUUUGCUAUUAUUUUCCUUACAGCUUCUGGUGUUCUAUCUAUGGCCUUCAUUUGUGUUUGAUUUUAUUCUACAUAUUUGCUUUCAUUAUUAUUUUAUGGGUUGGAUGUGUUUCAUACUUUUUAAUGUAUUGUGCUGAGUGGUUCGGUUAGUUUAAUUGAGCUCACAAACACAAAUUUUCGCGAAACUACCCAAGGUAGACGUCACCAGAAAAGCUUAGGCCGAAAAGAAAGUAAAAAUGGCGCAAUUUGGACACAAAUGGAAAUAUAAUAAGCUUUUGUUUACCACACCAUAUUGAAAGGUAAACAAAACACUGUCCUCUUAAAGCGGAGAUAAAAAGCAGAGAGACCUUGUUGAGAGUUGUGUUUUCAUGGCUGGUGUCCACCUGAGUUUAUGCCAAUCGCCAUAUCACUUUUUCAAUUAUGUACGACUCGCAUUGACAGGGGAAUAUCCAAUUUGUCUGUUUACAUAGCAGACGCAAAUGCACAUAUCUAAUUCAUAUCAGAUUUAUUUCCAAAUAUGAAUGAGGCCUGAAACGGAUCUGAGAAUAUUGGAAUCCUUGUGCUUUUUCCUGUUUACACGCUCAUGGGUCAUAUCUAAUCUGUGCCACAUGGAAGGAAAACAUUGGAAUUGGGUCACCUGAGCCAUGUAAUGUAAAUGCAGCCUUAAACUCAGGCGGACCUGGUACCAAAUGACGUCAUUGCACAUCCCCUUUUAAUGUUUAAAACCCACAGCGUACCCAGCUGACCAUGUUUUAUAUUGUUGUAAAGGUUAGAGUCCCUACGUUUCAUAGAAGUGCUUUCACAUUAAUCUCUCUCUCAUUAAUCAUAACAGAAAACAACAUUUUAGGCUUAUAAGCUUCACAUCCACCUAAAAUUAUGGAUGUGUGUGGAGAUAUGUUCAUAGAAACCAUAUAUCUUUCAGUCUUUUUUCACUACAAAAUAGUAAAUAGAUGUUUUUUAUGCGCAUCAUGAAUCAUCUAUUUUACCUUUCUGUGCAAAGAAAUUUUAAAAUAAAAAAUUUACAUUGCUUGAAAAAAAAAAACUAAAGAGGAUAAAUAAAAUAAAAAGAAAAAACACCACGCCCUUUUUGAUGACCUCUCUCCGACUCGACUCCGCCCACUUCCUGCUGAGAUGAUCACUUGUGGGUAAAGCAUCAAGCUUUAAAGAGUUCAGGUAAGAUUAAUGAUAAAACUCAAAGCACGUGGCUACUCUUUAGGUCUAGAAACUGUUUUAGCAAAGUUUAAUUUUAUAUUACAUUGGUUAUAAAGUUUUAAAAAAUAUUUUGCAGUUAAUUUGACGACUUAGUGCUAGAAGUUAAUCAAGCUUGCUUUGGUCGCAGGUGCGCAGCAAUUAUGUAACGUGUCCUCACGGUGUGGAAUUAACAAUGUAUUAUCGAAGAAGGACUUUUUUGCCAUUUUAUAACAGUAAAGAUAAAGUAAAGAUAAGUAAUAACUAAACAGCUUGUCCUGUGCUUAUUUUGGGUGGAAAAAUUUAUUAUAAAUAAAUGAUUAAAUAAAGUUAUUGCCAGAUUGACAUGACAUUUAUUUUUUGGAAGAUUUGGGCAGUGUAAAUGUCCUUGCUAAUUAGUCUGAACUAUCUUUUUUAGGCUGCUAUUAGUUAUUAGUAAUGUUGCUGUAGGUGUCUGUAGCUCUAGGUUUCACCUAAUAUAAAUAUAUAGUCUGUACAUGUUAGCCCUAUCAUAAUGAUUCUCUUUAGUGACAAUCAUAAUGUGGUUGAGAGAGAGAGAGAGAGAGAGAGAGAGAGAGAGAGAAGCAUGUUACAAAUCAAUUAUGUUAAAAUACUAAACACAAAUUUAAGGACCAAAAUAUUUCUCCUGUUUCACUGGUACUACUUACUUGCAUGUAGAUAGUACAAAAUAAUCACUAUUGUUAAUAUUUCCACCCUCUAUAAAAAAAAUAAAAGUAUAAACUCAUAGUUGAUUAAAUCAGUAAUGUUGUAAAAUGACUAAAAACAUUAUGGGGCCUUUUCAGGAGAUGGCAACAACAAGGUCCCGGAGGGCCAAACUAUCACCGAAGGAUGAAGCUGCAUAUUUUUCAUCCAUGUUUAAAGAUAAGGAUGGAUUUGAUGUAAAAUACAUCAAUUCAGUUAAAGGUCGAGGAGUGUUCAGUUGUCGCCACUUUCAAAAGGGAGAUUUUCUUGUUGAAUAUCGAGGAGAAGUCAUAACUAAACAAGAAUAUGAAAGAAGGCACAGAGUAUACCAUCGUGCGCUUGAAGUUUUUUUGUUUGAAUUUCGUUUUAAUGGAAAACAGUUAUGGGUUGAUGCUGCCAGAGAUGGCGGCUCUUUAGGGCGACUUGUCAACGAUGAUCAUAUGAACCCCAACAGCAAAAUGAAAACGAUCACAGUGGACAGAAAGCCCCAUUUGUGCUAUUUGCAAUAAAGGACAUCAGUCCUGGGGAAGAGAUUUGCUAUAACUAUGGGGAUUCUGACUGGCCAUGGAGAAGCAAGGUAACUUCAGAGACGCAACAGCAGUCAGAUGCUUUGGUCAGCUGUUUAGCAGCAGAGGAUGGAACAGAGAAGAUUUCAUCUGAGACUGAUCCUCAGCUGAGACUGAAUGACAACACUCAACAGAUUUCAUCCGAGACUGAUCCUCAGCUAAGACUGAAUGACAACGCUCAACAGAUCUCAACAACGUCUGAUCCUCAGCUGACACUUCAUGAUGUUCAACAGAAUUGCAAACAUGAUGUAAUCUCCUCAGUAGUAUCAAGCUUGGAUAAAUGUGACAGCUGUAGUGGACCCUUUUCUGCUUUUAAGUGGCUUGGUGUGAGAUGUAAGGGUAAGUAUUUUGUUUUGACAAGUAAAAUAUUUCUCUAAAUGUUUUAUGGUAAAACCCUAAAUUAUUGUGUAAAUGACAAAGCCUACAUGCUUUUUUUCCCCCCCAUCUAAAUGUAUCUUUAAUUUGGCUUGAAAAAGUUGACAUACUUUUGAGUUAAACGUAUCCUUUGUAUUCUUCUGAGCCCUUCUUCUGUCCAUCCAUCUCUCAGUCCAUCUCCUUAUUAAUGUCUUACUUUUCUCUCUUUUCUUUCUUGCUUCCUUCCUCCAUAUUUCUUUUU